rnacentral:rRNA from 1 species
CCUACGGGUGGCAGCAGUGGGGAAUAUUGCACAAUGGGGGAAACCCUGAUGCAGCGACGCCGCGUGAGUGAAGAAGUAUUUCGGUAUGUAAAGCUCUAUCAGCAGGGAAGAAAAUGACUGUACCUGAUUAAUAAGCCCCGGCUAACUACGUGCCAGCAUCCGCGGUCAUACUUAGGGGGCAAGCGGUAACCGGUUUUACUGGGGGUAAAGGGAGCGUAGGCGGGAGCACAAGUCUGGAGUGAAAUGCUGGGGCUUAACCCCGGAACUGCUUUGGAAACUGUGCAGCUAGAGUGCAGGAGAGGUAAGUGGAAUUCCUAGUGUAGCGGUGAAAUGCGUAGAUAUUAGGAGGAACACCAGUGGCGAAGGCGGCUUACUGGACUGCAACUGACGCUGAGGCUCGAAAGCGUGGGGAGCAAACAGGAUUAGAUACCCUUGUAGUC